GCGCGAAACCUUCGCAAUGCGCGAAAGCGCGACGAGGUUAUUCUGAGUGAUUUCCGCUGAGGAAAUCUUUUCUUAGAUCUAAAAAGUCUGGGGAAUACGGGGAGGGCAAGUCUGGUGU
rnacentral:rRNA from 1 species